AUGUCCAUAGAAGAAAGGCUCCUUACGGAAAAUCAUUCCGGCAAACAUGCAGCCAAGACUCCACAAGUCCAAAGAGUAGUCAUAAUCUUGUAAAUCAACAAGAAGUUCUGGACCUUUGAAAUAUCUUGAAGCAACGCGAACAUUAUACUCUUUCCCAGGAUGGUAAAACUCAGCAAGGCCCCAAUCUAUAAGACGAAGUUUGCGUUGCUCAUGAUCAAUCAUCACAUUA
rnacentral:misc_RNA from 1 species